CCAUCUGGAAGAAUCUGGAGACAGGUGCUGCAUGGCUGUCGUCAGCUCGUGUCGUGAGAUGUUGGGUUUAAGUCCCGCAACGAGCGCAACCCUUGCCUUUAGUUGCCAGCAGUUCGGCUGGGCACUCUAAAGAGACUGCCGGUGUUAAACCGGAGGAAGGUGGGGAUGACGUCAAGUCCUCAUGGCCUUUAUGACCAGGGCUACACACGUACUACAAUGGCCGAUACAAAGGGCAGCGACACUGCGAGGUGAAGCCAAUCCCGUAAAAUCGGUCUCAGUCCGGAUUGGAGUCUGCAACUCGACUCCAUGAAGUUGGAAUCGCUAGUAAUCGUGGAUCAGCGUGCCACGGUGAAUACGUUCCCGGGCCUU
rnacentral:rRNA from 1 species